rnacentral:lncRNA from 1 species
UGAUAGAUAGUACCGAUUGACAGAUAGGUAGACUGACAGAGCAGGAGACCCCCAGAUGAAGCUGUCUGAGAACAAUUCGACGGGGAGUGCUUCGGGUCGGGGUGUCCAACCUGCGGAACCGGGCGUCUCUCUUAAAAGGGGGACCCACCGCCCAGGCCCCUUCUGUCCGGAUGAACACGCCCGCUCCUUUCUACGCUCGCCUCUUGGCCCCAGUUGGAUCUCUGUUUAUUCCAUCAGGAUCUCCGUUUCGCCCAUUUGGUUGCCGAUGGAGCUAAGAGAGAAGCCCCCUCCGUUUCCCAGCAAGCGGCCAGGCUGUCGCGAAGGUCGGGGACACAGGCUGUCUUCACCUGCCCAGCUUGCGUUGGACAACCAGUGCGCGAUGGUGCGGGGAGAGACAAUGCAAAACUGA